rnacentral:rRNA from 1 species
GUUGAACGCUGGCGGCAGGCCUAACACAUGCAAGUCGAGCGGAUGGAGGGAGCUUGCUCCUCGAUUCAGCGGCGGACGGGUGAGUAAUGCCUAGGAAUCUGCCAAGUAGAGGGGGAUAACGUCCCGAAACGGGCGCUAAUACCGCAUCCGAACUGAGGGUGCACGCGGGGGAUCUCUCGACCCCACGCUACCAGUUGAGCCUAGGACGGAUUAGCUAGUCGGUGGGGUAAAGGCCUACCAAGGCGACGAUCCGUAACUGGUCUGCGAGGAUGAUCAGUCACACUGGGACUGAGAGACGGGCCAGACUCCGACGGGAGGCAGCAGUGGGGAAUAUUGGACGAUGGGCGAGAGCCAGAUCCAGCCAUGCGGCGUGUGUGAAGAAGGUCUUCGGAUGGUAAAGCACUUGGAGUUGGGAGGAAGGGCAGUAAGUUAAGACCUUGCUGUUUUGACGGUACCUGCAGAAUAAGCACCGGCUAACUUCGUG